rnacentral:rRNA from 1 species
CACGAAGGGGGCUAGCGUUGCUCGGAAUUACUGGGCGUAAAGGGCGCGUAGGCGGACAGUUUAGUCAGAGGUGAAAGCCCAGGGCUCAACCUUGGAAUUGCCUUUGAUACUGGCUGUCUUGAGUUCGGGAGAGGUGAGUGGAAUGCCGAGUGUAGAGGUGAAAUUCGUAGAUAUUCGGCGGAACACCAGUGGCGAAGGCGACUCACUGGCCCGAUACUGACGCUGAGGCGCGAAAGCGUGGGGAGCAAACAGG